GAUAGAGUAGACAGGAGGCGUAGAGUGUUCAAAGAUGGGACGUUGCUUUGAAACGAAAGCUUGUUAGCUGCGGUCUCCUUGUCGCGUCCGCUGUC
rnacentral:ncRNA from 2 species